rnacentral:rRNA from 1 species
UACAGAGACUGCAAGCGUUAUUCGGAUUCACUGGGCGUAAAGGGUGCGCAGGCGGCCAAGUGUGUGAGGCGUGAAAGCCCCCGGGCUCAACCUGGGAAUUGCAUUCGAGACUGAAUAGCUAGGGUACGGUAGAGGGAAGCGGAAUUUCCGGUGUAGCGGUGAAAUGCGUAGAUAUCGGAAGGAACAUCAGUGGCGAAAGCGGCUUCCUGGACCAGUACCGACGUCAGGCACGAAAGCGUGGGGAGCAAACAGG